CAAGUGUUACACUUAAAAAGAAAGUAGUUCAGCGAAACUAAAAGUUGCAAUGUCUCAUCAACCUGUUAGUUGAUUUCAUAAAAUCCCCCCUACAACCCGCUUGUUCAUGUAAAGGUUUUUGGCCGACCUUUGACAGCCCAGUAAUGAUGAGCUUAUUCUUCUAAACUGAAAAGCAAACGGACCAUUUAUCCUCUUUAUUCUUUAUGUAUCAUGGUAUUCAAGAAAGAUGCAUAAACCUAAUUAUAUCACUAAAUGAUGGCACUCAGGGUUAACUUUAUUCAACAGUAUGUGUGUGAGGAGGUAUAAAACCUUGUUGGCCUCCACCGUUGCUCCCACACAUCUUCUCACUGCUGUGACCUUUUUACUCCCAUAAAACCCCCGCUGCUUCAACAGAGAUUUAUUACGCUUAUUCUAGCCGUUGUUGCUUUAAAGACUUUAAAUCUUCUUUUUCUUUCUUCAAUGCAUGUCUACAAUUCUACUAUUUUUAAAUCAAAAGUGUAGUAAUAGCUUGGAGAGCUUAAAAAAAAGGCUCUGCAGCAGCAGACUUGUUGUUUGAGAAUCAGUCUCUCCUUUUUUUUUUUUUUCUACCCUCGUAUGGAGGCGGUUUUUCCAAAUUACACCGUUCUUGGUUGUGUGAUGUCACGAGAGGCGCCGCCGCUCUCUCCGGGGAAGUUCAAAUAGUGCGACGACACCGGGUUCAAAAUGUAAACAAAGGUUUUAAUUUACGUCCUUCAGAUUGAACAGAAAACAGUCAAAACAGGGAGUAACUCAGGCUUCGGUCGAUCUUCGCCGGUAAAACUUAACUAAUGUCUUGUCUUUGGAGGGGAAACGGAAAACCUCUCGGUCUCUCCUGCAUUCGGGAAUCCUUCUGUCUUGGUCUGCUCUUCUGCCGCGGGCCCAAUCUGCCGCUCGUCUCUCCUCCCUCAGCGGUGUGUCUUCCGCCCUCAUGGAGGCCUCCAGGUCGUCACACCCUGAUGGGUUUCAGGUGUGAGGGGAAUGCUCUUUUGGGAUGGAGCCAUAGUGGUUACAGCCAUCGCCGGUGAACGCAUCUCCCUUCCAAGACCGAGC
ensembl:lncRNA